CUGGCUUAACACAUGCAAGUCGAGGGGCAUCAGGAAGAAAGCUUGCUUUCUUUGCUGGCGACCGGCGCACGGGUGAGUAACACGUAUCCAACCUGCCCUUUACUCGGGGAUAGCCUUUCGAAAGAAAGAUUAAUACCCGAUAGCAUAAUGAUUCCGCAUGGUUUCAUUAUUAAAGGAUUCCGGUAAAGGAUGGGGAUGCGUUCCAUUAGGUUGUUGGUGAGGUAACGGCCCACCAAGCCUUCGAUGGAUAGGGGUUCUGAGAGGAAGGUCCCCCACAUUGGAACUGAGACACGGUCCAAACUCCUACGGGAGGCAGCAGUGAGGAAUAUUGGUCAAUGGGCGCUAGCCUGAACCAGCCAAGUAGCGUGAAGGAUGAAGGCUCUAUGGGUCGUAAACUUCUUUUAUAUAAGAAUAAAGUGCAGUAUGUAUACUGUUUUGUAUGUAUUAUAUGAAUAAGGAUCGGCUAACUCCGUGCCAGCAGCCGCGGUAAUACGGAGGAUCCGAGCGUUAUCCGGAUUUAUUGGGUUUAAAGGGAGCGUAGGUGGACUGGUAAGUCAGUUGUGAAAGUUUGCGGCUCAACCGUAAAAUUGCAGUUGAUACUGUCAGUCUUGAGUACAGUAGAGGUGGGCGGAAUUCGUGGUGUAGCGGUGAAAUGCUUAGAUAUCACGAAGAACUCCGAUUGCGAAGGCAGCUCACUGGACUGCAACUGACACUGAUGCUCGAAAGUGUGGGUAUCAAACAGGAUUAGAUACCCUGGUAGUCCACACAGUAAACGAUGAAUACUCGCUGUUUGCGAUAUACAGUAAG
rnacentral:rRNA from 1 species